GAGGCUAUAGCCCAAUGGCAGAGCACAUGCCUAGCAUGCAUGAGGUCCUGGGUUCAAUCCCUAGUACCUCCA
rnacentral:tRNA from 1 species